UAAGGACCUAAUCGUGAAUAUGAUAAAAACAAGGACUAAACUGCAAAACGCACAAAAUGACAAAUCCCACCGCUUAAGCCUCUCUGCCUUCGUUCUUAAGGAAGCAGAGAAGGCAGCUGCAUGGAUGAUCAGGGAAAGAAAGAGAGAAGAAGAAGAAGAAGAAGGAGAAGAAGAAGAAGAAGAAGAAGAAGAAAAAAAAAAAUUUGGGGCUUUAAGGGUUCUUGCCCAAAUCCUUUCACUUAGGGUCAAAAUUCCCAAAGGCAAGUGUUUCUAACCCCAUCCUACAGAAAAUUAGUCUCUGUUUUUAUGUUGUUUCAAAAAAAAACUGAAGGAUUUCUAUCUAGAAACUGAUAUUUCUCUCUUUGAACAUAGAACCAUGGAUUCUGAAAUUUUUUCGAUAAACUGACCCCUAUACACUGUUUCAGCUAUAAUUUUAGCACAAAAUGUGAAUUCAGGCAGGAACUAUUUUGUUUGAAAUUAGACUCUUAUAAAUUUCUUUUGACACUGAUUUUGUAGAUUUUGGACACCGAAUACUUACCCAAUCAUCUGUUUCAAAUGAGCCUAUAGAUGCUGCAAAACAGGGAUCAAGAUUUCUGACCUUUCGAUACUAAAAUGCCUAUAACUCUCUGUUGAAAAUUCUGAUUUGUACCAAACUGACUUCGUCCGAAACUAGACUUGCAGACCUUUCUUUUGACAUAUAUUUUGAAAAUUUUAGAAUUCAAAUGCCUACCCUAUUAUCUGUUGAAUCCGACCCUAUGUAUUCUGCAAAACAGUGAUUGUGUCCUUGACCUUAUGUUACCAAAUCAAAGGUAACUCCUUGUGGGAAACUCUGAUUCGUACGAAACUUAUUUCUUCAGAAAAUAGGUUGAUAUAUCUUUCAAUGAAAGCUUUAUUAAGGGUAUUGGAGCAUAAUUGAUAAUCUGAAGUAUUUGUUCUAUGUGCCAUUGGAAUUCUGUCAGAAAUCGAGCUUUGGUCGAUUUCGCGUAUUCUGUUUCAUUCCUUUGGAUAUUGAAUUCUUCUAACCUUCUUAUUUGAAUUGAGCUAAAUAUGAUUGUUUGGAUUCCCUGUAUACUCUUGCUUCCAUUUCAUUCCUAAUAUGAAUACAUUUGUGAGAGAUUUGUUCCUUGCAUCAUAUUGUCUUGAAAAGGCACAUGUACGUUUUGUUGUUCCGCGUGUGCUUCUGAUAUAUGCUACUUAUUGUUAAAACUGCCCUCUUGUACUCUGGUGUGUGGGAUUGUCUGGACCUUUGCCAGAAAUGGUAAAGGGUAUGUGCUUAUUGCCCGCUCUAUGGGAUAUUUUAGACCUUUGCCAGAAAUGGUAAAGGGUAUGUGCUUAGAGCCUGCGAUGCUCUGCCGGCCCCCUCUGACUUCACCUAGACGUGGGUGGAUGGAGCUCCCAAACAUGGGAGACUUUUGUCAGGUGGUCAUUCAGAAAUGGAUGAAUCACAUUCUGACUGAGAUCCCACUACACCUUCUAUAUGUUUGAUAUGACAUCUAGAGUUUUGGUGAGUUGUUUCUGUUCAGGCUCUGGAUAAGAAUGAUAUGAUUGUAACGUCAAGGGCGACGUUUGAGCUUCUGUAUGGUAUUUGUUUUUGAUAUGCUCUGAAAUGCUUCAUUCACUGAUGAUUUUUGCUUCGUAAUGUUCCAUAUGCUGUUGAUAUGUUUCGGAACAUUUUAUAUGCCAUUGAUAAGCUUCGAUAUGUUUCCUUUGUUACUGAUAUGCUUCAAUUACUCUAUGCCCCCUAUGUUAUGAACCAAAUAUGUAUGAUUGAAAGGACAAUUGUGAUUCUGCACCUAAUGAUAUUAUGUCUACGAAUUCAUAUAUUCUGCCUCGUAUUAUGAAACUUUAUCUCUUUGGAAAUUGUCCUGUUUUGAUAUGGAUAUGUUAGUCACUUGCUGAGCUCUAUAUGCUCACCCCGUUUGUUGAUAAAUUUUUCAGGAUAGCGUAUCGCUUGCUUAAAUGUUAAGAAUGGGCUGAGGC
rnacentral:lncRNA from 1 species